GCGCCGGGAUGCGCUCUCCUCUUCUCAUUUGCCAAUUUAUUGCAGAUCCCUCCUCAAAAAAGUUUUGGGACUAACUCAGCCCCAUGGAGAUCAAGGUGAAUUAGAAAAACAACAAAACAAAACAAGAUUCAUUUUAACAUCUCAUUUUUCUAUCUCCAACUUUCCCUCCCCUCCUCCCACCCCAGGAAGAAAAGACUACGUUUGUUUCUGGUGAUACAUUCAUUGUAGGUGGGUGGGUGACUUCUAGAAGAGGAAAAUCAAGAAGAUUUGGAGAAGGAGUCUUGGAAGCUCUGGUGAAGUUUUCCAAAACUGGGAAGGACAGAGUCUGCUCAGCCUGUGUUAGUGGAGAAGAGGGAAGGAAACUGGCUGGAGGCCGCUGGACCCACAGAGGACAAUAGACAAUCUCCUGCUGAUGCCCACUGGAUCCAAAGAGAGAAACUCUAUAGAAUUAUGAUCUAGGUUUGACUGACUCCUGGCAAGAAGCCCUACCCGCCAGCCAAUUUGGAUGAGGAACACAGAAUCACUUGUGGAAUUAAGAGAUAAGGACAGCAAGUAGACCAAACUAUAAGCUGAGGUUCAAGGUGGCAUAGGCUGGGUGCCACAGUGCUGUGUCUCAGGUGGGCUAGAAGUGCGAAACGGACAGUACCAGAAGGAAAAC
rnacentral:lncRNA from 1 species